rnacentral:SRP_RNA from 1 species
UCGAGACGGAGGGGCGUGAGAAGGUGAUCUACUUGAUCGACGCCCGUGCGGGGAUGUUCGCGGCGACGACGGAGGUGGACUUGAACGAUAGGAGGAGGACGAUGUCGGCCUU